GGACGAAUUUGUGACGGUACCUGGUGAAUAAGAGGUUGCUAACUCUGUGCCAGCAGCAGCGGUAAUACAGAGACCUCAAGCGUUAUCCGGAUUUAUUGGGCGUAAAGCGUCCGCAGGUGGUUUGGCCAGUCAGAGGUUAAAACCUAACGCUUAACGUUAGGAUCGCCUUUGAUACUACCAGACUAGAGAACGGAAGAGGUGAGCGGAAUUCUCGGUGUAGUCGUAAUAAGCGUUGAUAUCGAGAAGAACACCAAAUGCGAAGGCAGCUCACUGGUACGUUUCUGACACUCAUGGACGAAAGCGUGGGGAGCAAACAGGAUUAGAUACCCUGGUAGUCCACGCCCUAAACUAUGCAUACUAGGUAUUGGCAGUAUCGACCCUGUCAGUGCCGUUUAAAAAAGCUAACGCGUUAAGUAUGCCGCCUGGGGAGUACGGCCGCAAGGCUAAAACUCAAAGAAAUAGACGGGGACCCGCACAAGCGGUGGUUCAUGUGGUUUAAUUCGAUGGUAAACGGGGAACCUUACCUGGGCUCAACUACUAGCUGCAAGCCUCCAGAAACGGAGGCCGCCUUUGAGGGUGCUAGAUAGGUGCUGCAUGGUUGCCGUCAGCUCGUGCCGUGAGGUGUACCAUUAAGUUGGGAAACGAGCGCAACCCACGUCGUGUGUUAAAUUUACACACGAGACCGCCCAGCCCUUUGAAAAUGAGUGAAGCAAAGUAAGCAAUUACUCGUCGUGCUUAAGCUGCCUACUCUGCUUAUAGCUCGUUGGCAAAGAGCUGGGAGGAAGGGGUGGACGACGUCAAAUCAGCAUGGCUCUUACGUCCAGGGCUACACACAUGAAACAAUGGGAAGUACAAUGGGUUGCUAAGUCGCGAGAUGGAGCUAAUCCCAUCAAAACUUCCCCCAGUUCAGAUUGCAGGCUGCAACUCGCCUGCAUGAAGUAGGAAUCGCUAGUAAACGCCUAUCAGCCACGGGGCGUUGAAUACGUUCUCGGGUCUUGUACUCACAAUAAAAGCGCUAGGCAGUAUAUUAUUCUAGAGAGUUAAAGUCUCUCCCUCUGCUUGUCGGCAGAGCGUAGCUAAAAGAUAGUCGUCUUUCGCAAGGAAGACGGCGAAGGAUCUCGAGGCAAAAGAUAGUCCAAUCAUAGAAAAGCCGUAUUGACCUUUGAAUCGGCGGUGAGCAAGGGGAAAAUACAUUGAACAGGCUUGAGUGGAAUGUCCGGAAAUGAAUAAUAUAUGACCCUAGGAGAUCUUACGUCGUCUUGAUUAUUAUGGUGUAAUCAAGUAAUGCAACUUACGCGGCGUAAGAAGUCAGCUGAAUCGUAGUACUUCGAUAUUGUGUCGAAGGAAGGAUUCACUCUAGUCGUAUGGAAGAAAUAUCUGCUAACUAUAUCGUUGGUCUCACGGACGGAGAAGGAAGUUUUACAGCUUAUGUAAAAAAUCCGGAUGCGUCCAAAGAAGUUAAGCGAAGAACAAAAGUUGAACCGAGGUUUUACCUCAAACUCAUUGAGAAAGACAAAAAGAUUCUCUAUGAUUUGAAAAAAUUCUUUGGUUGUGGCAAUGUUUAUUUUCAAAAAGAUAAACGCGCCAAUCAUCAAGACUGUUAUCGCUACGAAGUCGCCAAUAGAAAAGAUUUGCAGAAAAUAAUUAUUCCAUUUUUCAGAAGUAACUCUUUGCGAUUACGAUCAAAGAGCCGUGACUUUGAAAUUUUUUGUCAGAUUAUGGAAAUGGUUAUAAACAAUGAUCAUUUGAAGAAUUCCGGUCUUAGAAAGAUCUAUAAUCUUAAGCAGAAAAUGCAUUAGAGCUCGUCGUGUGCGGGAAAUCCGCAGGCACGAUGGGAACAUCAAUUCUAAGUUUCUAGAAGAUAAUCGCCCGUCACACCACGGGAGCUGGCAAUGCCCAAAGUCCCCCUUCGGGGGAUUAAGGCAGGGUCAGUGACUAGGGUGAAGUCGUAACAAGGCAUGGGUAGCGGAAGCUGCUCAUGGAUCACCUCCUU
rnacentral:rRNA from 1 species